rnacentral:rRNA from 1 species
UGGGGAAUUUUGCGCAAUGGGCGAAAGCCUGACGCAGCAAUACCGCGUGAGUGAUGAAGGCUCUUGGGUCGUAAAGCUCUGUCAGAGGGGAAGAACCUCCUGUCAUAUAAUACAUGGCAGGCCUGACGGUACCCUCAGAGGAAGCACCGGCUAACUCCGUGCCAGCAGCCGCGGUAAUACGGAGGGUGCAAACGUUGUUCGGAAUUAUUGGGCGUAAAGAGCAUGUAGGCGGUUUGUCAAGUCUGAUGUGAAAGCCCUGGGCUCAACCCAGGAAGUGCAUUGGAAACUGGCAAACUUGAGUACGGGAGAGGAAAGUGGAAUUUCGAGUGUAGGGGUGAAAUCCGUAGAUAUUCGAAGGAACACCAGUGGCGAAGGCGGCUUUCUGGACCGAUACUGACGCUGAGAUGCGAAAGCGUGGGGAGCAAACA